GAUGAACGCUGGCGGCACGCUUAACACAUGCAAGUCGAACGAGGUCCAUGGAGCUUGCUCCGGAAGACUUAGUGGCGAACGGGUGCGUAACACGUGAGAAAUCUGCCCCGGACUUCGGAAUAACAGUUGGAAACGACUGCUAAUACCGGAUGCCUUCAUUUGACCGCAUGGUUGUUUGAAGAAAGAUUUAUCGGUUUGGGAGGAUCUCGCGGCCUAUCAGCUUGUUGGAGAGGUAACGGCUCACCAAGG
rnacentral:rRNA from 1 species